rnacentral:rRNA from 1 species
CCAACAGGGAUUGCCCUAGUAACGGCGAGUGAAGCGGCAACAGCUCAAAUUUGAAAUCUGGCUCUCUUUGGGGGUCCGAGUUGUAAUUUGCAGAGGAUGCUUUGGCAUUGGCGGCGGUCUAAGUUCCUUGGAACAGGACAUCACAGAGGGUGAGAAUCCCGUACGUGGUCGCCUGCCUUUGCCGUGUAAAGCUCCUUCGACGAGUCGAGUUGUUUGGGAAUGCAGCUCUAAAUGGGAGGUAAAUUUCUUCUAAAGCUAAAUACCGGCCAGAGACCGAUAGCGCACAAGUAGAGUGAUCGAAAGAUGAAAAGUACUUUGGAAAGAGAGUCAAAAAGCACGUGAAAUUGUUGAAAGGGAAGCGCUUGCAGCCAGACUUGCCCGCAGUUGCUCACCUAGGCUUUGGCCUGGGGCACUCUUCUGCGGGCAGGCCAGCAUCAGUUUGGGCGGUUGGAUAAAGGCCUCUGUCACGUAUCUUCCUUCGGGAUGACCUUAUAGGGGAGGCGUAAUGCAACCAGCCCGGACUGAGGUCCGCGCAUCUGCUAGGAUGCUGGCGUAAUGGCUGUAAGCGGCCCGUCUUGAAACACGGACCAAGGAGUCUAACAUCUAUGCGAGUGUUUGGGUGUCAAGCCCGGGCGCGCAAUGAAAGUGAACGGAGGUGGGAACCCUUUGGGUGCACCAUCGACCGAUCCUGAUGUCUUCGGAUGGAUUUGAGUAAGAGCAUAGCUGUUGGGACCCGAAAGAUGGUGAACUAUGCUUGAAUAGGGUGAAGCCAGAGGAAACUCUGGUGGAGGCUCGCAGCGGUUCUGACGUGCAAAUCGAUCGUCAAAUUUGGGCAUAGGGGCGAAAGACUAAUCG